rnacentral:lncRNA from 1 species
AUCACCUUCAAGCCCAAGUGCUGCUGCUGCCCCCUUGUGUUUCUGUGAGGGAAGAACUCAGUCCCAUCUCACCUGGGGAGAGCAGGAGGGCCAGGAUGUGCCAGCAGCUGUGAACCUAGCAGAAGGGUCAUGUGAUUGAGUGGGGGUGGGCAAAGGAAGGGCACUUCAACUGAGGUGAAAUUCAGAUGGUGUGGCCGCCAGACAGCCUUAAGGGAGAACCUGUGAUCUUGUCUAUGGACAUGAGCUAGGGAGGGUCUUUAUCUUCCAUUUUAAUGAUGAAGGGGGGAAAACGUGACUCUUCCCAGCCCAGGGGAUUGUGGCUAACAGGCCUGGGGAGGGAGGACACCAAGCAUGGAGUGUGUGUGCCCAGAUUUUGCCUCAUUUGUCUUUGGCUCAAGUAGGGGGAAGGAAGAAAAAUCCAAGGGCAGAGGAAAGGGCUCUUCUAAACCAAGAUGCUCUUUAGGACCCUGAGAACCUCUCUGGGACCUGCACAUCUCAACCUUGGGAGCAGCCUCCUCUGCCCUUGCAGAGAGGGAGGUUCCAGAAUUAUCCUAAAUGUCUUUGAAUCCCUUAUGGCGUGGAUGCUGAGUUGACAACCAGGAAGCUUCCCGGGAGCACUGAGGAAGAGGGAUUUCAGAGCUGAGACUGGACGUGGUAGAGGUCUGUGGGAGCAGAAGGCCGCCAGGCAGGCAGGCCGGGUGGAGGACAGGCUUGGGGGCCAGAGAUCUACAGCAGGGAGGGUUGAGGGAAUUGGGGGGUUGCAGUUGUGGAAUUUGGCCAUGAAUGUUGGCAAAGCAAGCAGUGUUCCGCCCCCCAGAUAUCUAGGCAUUGUGUACUGGAGAACCUGAGCAGCUUUGUCUGGCCUUCUGGCUACUUCCUGAAGUAUUGUUUGCUUUGUUAUAAUAGACUGGGUUUAGUUUUAGAUUAGUUGGACCUUUAGUGAGAAUAUUUAAAAUCAUUAAGAUUAUGAAAGGCAAAUAGGUCCAGGAUCAUGCCUACGUUGAUUCUUCUGUUUUCACUGUGAGUUGUGGGAGUUGUUGUUUAGUUUUGUGGUGCUGGGGGAUUGAACCCAGGAGUGCUCUACCACUGAACUACGUCCCCAGGCCCUUUUAGUUUUUAUUUUGAGACUGGGGCCAGUGUCUCACUAAGUUGCCAAAGCUGGCCUUGAACUUGAGAGUCUCCUGCCUCAGUCUCCUGGGUAGCUGGGAUUACAGGCAUGUGCCACCAUGUCCACCUUGAAUUGUGUUUUUAUUACCUCCGUUUUUUGCUUUGGUGGCCUCUUGAAGGUGGUAGCCAUCUGUACUAAAGAGGGUAGCUGUGUCCAGGGGCCUCUGCAAGGAAACAAGAAUAAGCCAAGUGAUGACAAUAGCUCAUUUGCUAACCACUCAUAGGCCUUGCCCACUUCAUUUAUAAAGCAAUCUGAACAGUUCAAAUCCCUUAUUUACUUAUUCAGUUUGUUUUGAGAGGCUUUUAAAAUUGAGAUAUCAUUCACCUAUCAUCAAAUUCACUCUUGCACUCAUAUGCGACUGGGGGUGGGACCCAGGGCGGUUUAUCACUGAGCUACAUCCUCAGCCUUCUUUAUUUUCUAUUUUUAAACAGGGUCUUUCUAAGUUUCCCAGAUUGGCCUCAAACUGGUGAUCUCCUACUUCAGCUUCCUAUGUAGAUGGAAUUACAAGCGUGUGCCACCACGCCUAUAAAAGUUCACUCUUUUAAAAAAGGAACCAAUGCAGUAUUUUUUAGUAUAGUCACAGAAUUGUGCUACUGCCACCACUGUGUAAUUCCAGAACAUUUUGUCACCCUAAGGAGUCAUUCCUCAUUCCGCCAUCUCAACGCCUGUCCACCACUGAUUUGUCUUACAUCUCUAUAGAUAUUCUGGACUUUUCAUUUAAAGGGAGUCAUAAAAUGUGUAGGUGUUUUUGUUUUUGUUUUGAGCUAGGAACUAAACCCAGGACCUCACACAUACCAAACACAGGUUCUACCACUGAACUACAACCCCAGCCUCCAACGUGUGUUUUUUUUGUGGAUAACUUAUUUCACCUAGCACACUGUCUUUAAGAUUCAUUCCUUUUUAUAGCUGAAUAAUAUUCCACUGUGUGGAUGUGUCAUGUUUUGCUUAUUUGUUCUUAAAUCAGUGGACAUUUGGAUUUUUUUUCCCACUUUUUGGCUGUUAUGAAUAAUGCUGCUAUGAACACUGCUGUGUAAAUUUUUGUGUAAGCAUGUUUUAAAUUUUCUUAAAUAUGUAUAUAUACCUAAUCAAAGAAAUACUGGGUCAUAUGUUUAUUUUGAGGAACUUGCAAACUGUUUACCCAAGUGGCUACACCAUUUUACAUUCUCACUGCUGGAAUAGAAGUGUUCAAAUCUCUCUACAUUCUCACCAAGACUUGUUCUGUCAGGUUUUUUUUUUUUUUUUAAUGAUAGCCAUCCAAAUGAGUAUGUAGAUAGUAUAUCAAUUUCCACCCCGCACCCACAACCCCUACCCCAGGACUGGAAAUUAAACCCAGGAGCUCUACCACUGAGCUACACCCCCAGCCUUUUAUAUAUCUUAUUUCAAGAUAAGGAAUCAUUAUGCCCAGGCCAGCCUUGAACUUAGGAUCCUCCUGUCUAAGCCUCCCAAGAGGCUCUGACUACAGGUGUGUGCUGUGGCGCUGGGGUCAAUUAUUUUUUUGAAGGUUUCCAAUAAUUAACCUUUUGAGUGGUUUGCAUACAUUUCUGCAAGGUUUUAUUUUUAUUCCUCUUAGCAUUGCUUCUUGAUCUUAUUUUCCUUUUGCUUCUAUGGUUUACUAUUAUUAUACUUUUCAUGACUCUACAAUAAACACUUCUAUCUCAACUUUUUAAACAAGAGGCUAAUCAUUAACUUUAUAUAUGGAGUAAUUUUAAUUGCUUUGUCUAUGAAGCUAUUUCUUUAUUUUUGAAAGCUCCAAAAUAAAGUUAUUGCAGAUCUCUGGUGAUUCCCUCUCUGGUGGCAUGGGGUAAUUUUUGUGUUCUGUCACACUCUGUAUGACAGAUGUGACCAAACCUUAACUCUGUUAAUAACUUUACUUUUUAAUUGAACUUUUCCCCGUCACGGGCUGAGGGGCAGGUUAUAUAGCUGGUUCUGAGUUAAUUACAACUGCCAUUAUUUUUUAUUUUCAGUGCCUGAGCAAGCAGUAAAACAGCAAGUUAAGUCACAUUUGCAAUGGGACCAUGACUCAAUUAGUGUUUUUGAAUAAUAGGCAAUAGUAAUUAAGGUCAUGGCAAUCGCAGUAACAGCACGAUGUGGGAGCCUAGCUUCAGCUAAGGCUAUUUUAUUACAUGUCUCCAGAGGGGUUUGAAGGGAGAUGGAACCUACCAGGAGGAGAGUCUCUUCUGUGUGUCUCUGGCAAACCAGGAGUGGGAAUUCUUGAGAAUGUCUUCAGUUAUCUUUUCAACACUGGUUUGUCCACUUCUGUGUCAGAAGCUCAAAAUUCAAUGUGAAACUCACAGUCUCUCAAGGGAAUGUUUUUAGUCCAGUUAACCUUAUCUAUUAAAAGCCAGGCUCCUGCGACUGAGAACCAUAUGCAGACUUGAACAUGAACCUGGACUACUGGAUAUUCAGGGGACAUUAUUAGCCACUUCAAAACUGACUUUGCAAACUCGAGUCUAUAAAAUCCUUUCCAGCCAGGUUCAGCCGUGUGUGCCUGUAAUCCCAGCUACUUGGGGGGGCUGAGGCAGGAGGAUGGCAAGUUGGAGGCCAGCCUGGGCAACUUAGCAAGACUCUGUUUCAAAAUUUAAAAAAAUAUAUAUAGAAAGGACUGGGGAUUUUGCUCAGUGGUUGAGUGUCCCUGGGUUCUACCUCCAGUACUACAAAAAACUAAAAAUAAAUAAAUGAAUAAAUCAAUCCCCUUUCAGUGUGAGCAUGAAUGUACCCAUCUUAAGGAUAAGAAGAUUGAGGCAAGGUGUGGUCAUGUGACUUGGAUACAAGUGGUCCCUGAGUGAGGCAUCUGAUUCUGAUUUUAGAUUUUAGCAGUUUGUAGCCCCAUUUCUUCUGAACUGCAAGUACAUACUCUGCUGCUUCUGGUCUGAUAUUUUAUGCUCAUGAUAGAAAAUCUUUUUUUAGGGAAUAAAGAAAAAAAUUGUAAUUCCAACAAUGAGAUGUUGUGGACAUCAGGGUCAGGAAAGGACACAGAAGGCGGAGUUCCAGAUUAAUGCUGUGAGUACUGUUAGGAUGGACACGAAGCUCUCCUUGAACAUGAGGAGAAGUUCUUAGAGGAGAGAGUCGAGGUUAGGGAAGGACUAGUUGUGUCUAAGCAUCGUUCCCUUUUUCCUACACUCCCACCUCCUCACGGGCCUGGCUGGGCAGUCCUUGUCCAAGUUCAGGGCCAUACCAUCAUGCACCUAAGUACACUUCUCCUCGGGGGCUCUUGUGGAUUCUUCCUCCCCAGUUUGCAAAGUUCCUUUUUGGGAUUUCAAGCCCCCCCCCACCCCACCUAGCCGCCACCAUCAAAAAAAAAAAAAGUCUCAAUAUUCCUCAGCUUCCCCUAAAUCACUAGUUCUUACACAGAAGGUGGUAUAGAUGACAGACUGGGUCCCCGUCCCCUGGGAAGCAUCCUUUGACACAGAGAGCAGCAUGCAGGAAGUUUAUCUGGGAAGGCUUUCAGAAUCCAUGUGGACGGGGAAAGGGAAGAAGCAGGAUGGGGAGAAGUCAGGUUGUGGUGCAGCAUGUAGCAGCCUCAGUCCUGAAGACGGCCACGGGGUGCCCUGGGGUUGGGAUAGUCCUGUAAGGGUAAAAGAAAUUGAAGUUAAAGUGUAAAAGACCGGGCAUUGUAAAGUUCCUAAGCUGCAAGGCCUGAGUUAAAAAGUGAAGGACUAGGUAUUGUUAAGUUCCUCUGCUACACCCAGAACCUGAAAUUCCUGAGGCAGUUAAGACAACGCCCUACUGGCCAUUUAGUUGAUUAAUAGCCUAGGGCCCUGUGCGAUCUUGCACGUAGGCAUCGCAGGGCCUAAACCAAUCAGUUUGAAUGUGUACCCCGCUUAGGAGUAACCAAUCACCCCCGCCCGACCUGUUCCCGCCAAUGAAUGAACUAAUCAUGUUUAGGAAUUGUUGUUUGAUUUUCCCGCGGUGUAUGAUGAUUUGUUAAAGGAGACUGUGAUGUAUGUAAAGUCCCCGCCCUCCCCAAGAAGUGUACUUAAGCAGUGCUCAGCCCCUGCUCUGGGCUCUGGGCUGCUCUCCCUUCUUGAGUGAGCACGGAGCCCCAGCGCGCUGGAAUGGAUCCCCAAUAAAUCCCCUUCUGCAAUUGCAUGAGUCAGUCUCUUGGUGGUCUCUUCCUCUGACGCUUCGCCGGACCCUUACAUUCCAGGCUACCUAGGAGCCCUGAACCUUCCUAUCCCCAAACAAAUCAGUUCUUGAAUGCAGUCUGCCCUGUGCAGAGUGGAAUUUUUAGCAAAGGGUGUGACGUCAGCAAGGUAGCUCCCUUUAGCCAGUAACUCAUCUGGAGGGCAGAAAAGCUGAGGGGUACCAACAGUUGUGAGUCGGUGUUCAGUACAGAAGGGAAAUCUGGGGGAGAGAAGGAAGAGAAAAGAAGGAGGAAGAGAGAAAGGAGAAAAAGGAGAAGAGAAACACAUUUCUGGCCAGCUACUAUUGCUUUUUCCAAGGUGUAGACUGACUGUGAAAUGUAAUUUCGGAAGAAGAAUUUCUGAGUUUUCCAGUUGUCCAGAAUGUACCAGCAGCUUCCACUAUUCCUUUCAUCUUCUGUGUUGCUUUGUGGUAAUAGUUCUCCCAUCCUCUAGAUGUGAUUUUCCUCUAUACUUUCAAAGACGUACUGUUGUUCCAUUCUGUCAGGGACUAGAAGGAAAUUCUCCUUCAAAGAUUAGCCUGACAGCCCCCUGGGAGACAUCCUGCCUGGGAGGCAUCCUGCAGCUACCUAUCUCCCUGGAACAUCCUGCGGUUAUCAGGAUCAUCAGACAUCUUGCACCUGGCAGUUUUACCACCCACAUCCAGCAGUUGUUGAUUAGAGAGCUUCCCCAUCCCCAGCAUAUAAACACCCCUG